UGAUUGGGCCGGGUUGAAGAAGCGGAAGGCUUGGGUAUCGUAGUAGUCUUUGCAGUGGUUUAAGGCCUUACACAGUCUCGAGCUUCUCUUGUUUGCGGUCUUUCUUUCGGAUUUUAGUUUUUAGUAUCUUUAGAUCUUGGACUAGGGUAGCUGGUGGUUUGAAUAUGUGAUAAAUUUGGUAUUGAUUGGGUGACUGGUAUUGGUUCAUGCCUUUGAUCUGGUUCGCGGUGAAGAUUAUAGCCGAAUCGAUAUGUUCUUAAGUGUUUGUCUAAAUCUGUCCAGUUAGUUGCCAACUGAGGUUCCAUAACUCUUACAAGUUCAACUCCAUACUCCCUC
rnacentral:lncRNA from 1 species